AGCAACUUGACAGGCAUGUGGGGAGCAGCGGAGGCGGUACACAGCAGGAGGGGGAGGAACGGAGGAACAGGAACUGGGAAUUACAGAACUAGGAACUGGAAACAGAACUCAAAACAGGACAAUUACAAUUCAAUUGUAACUGGGAUUCUUGGUCUCCAUGGUUUUGGCAUAGCCAGUCCCUUCUGCAUGGAGCUGUGGUCCUAAGGCAGGCAGCUUUACUCCUGUGCUCGCUUCCUGGCUCUGUUCUUCAGAUGCUCCAGGGAAUCCUGGCUGCAUCUGUCUGCUGGAAACCAUAGCCUUGGGAAGCUUCAGGAUUUCAGUUUACUCACAGCUGGAGUCUCCUUCAAACUGAGAAGCCACCAUGGAUUUCAAGAGUGAACAUUCUUAACCACUUUUCUGGUCAGAUGACUGCUAUUGGUCAUCAUCCUGAUGGUAACACCUGAAACACUGCCAUGGAUAGCAGCAUCCUUCAAAUGACUCAAAGGCCACCCUAAGUGUGGACUUGCAAACCCAACAGGUCUCAUGAGCCAAUCUGUUGCUGUCUACAAGGAUGCCCUUGUCUGCAGCUGGUGAAUAGUCCUGCCUCAGGCAGAAGUCCUUUGGAAGCCUAUGGAAAACACAACCAAAACAGAAACACAAGACGUGGAAUAUCACUGGUCUCAACCUGAACCUAAACACUGUAAAUCAAAAAUUAUAAAAUUAUAAAACACCUUAUGACUUUGCGAGUGAGUCCUGGAGUGUGCCAGGGUGCCUAGCAUACCCCUAUCUAAAUCAACUGUCUAAACUAAAUAUCUAAAAUAAAUAACCAUAAAAAACACUGUAAAAUUGCCCCCAAACAUCUCACUGGUGGGACCUUAGGUAGUCAAAUUGGUUGGACACCAACAAAUACUGUCUAAUAUCACUUGAUCCUUGAAGAGAGUAGAAAUAUCCGUGCCAACUGAGGUGACAGCUGCAGGACCAAAGUGUUUGCUUUUCAUAGGUACCUCUUCUCCAUGAGGGUGUUCCUGGCAGAACAACCACACCUUAGAAGGGAUGUAACUGGUACAUUAAGAACCUGGAAGGGGGUAUUAAACACCAUUGAUCUUGAAACCCUGGCUAAUAAAUUAUGCACAAACAGUGAUUUGAGUACUACAGAGCAAUCUUGAAAGUCCUCCUUUCCUCACUUCAGGAAAUACCCAGUGGUCUGCUUCAACUCUCUUUUCUGUCUCAGGAAAAUAGCAGGGUGCUAAUCACUGAUGACUGGCUGAUGCUUUCGGAAUUGUUCCAAGCACUGUGUUUCCAGCACUAACUAUAUCCAUGCUCAGUCAUGGCUACAGUGUGCAAGGGCCAUGACAAUCAGAGAAGGAGAAAUGAAUUUUUUACCCACUGAAAUUUGAAAGGCAAUUUGGGACAGUGCAUGGGCUUUAAGAAAAAAAUAUACACACAUGGCAAACAGUUGAUGUAGCUGCCUGCAUGGUAAGAGAGGGAUUUAUAUGUGAAAGUAACCCUCUGAAAGCCCAGAACAAAGGGUCUGUCACAUUGAAAUGUACUUCAACAACAAUUCUGAAUCCAUCCUGAUGUGGAUAAGACAAGGAUGUCUGUGUUUUGGAACCCCCUGUGACAGCUUAACAGUAGAUAACACAUCCAGCUUACCAACCACUCAAAAGCAGGUAUUUGUAACUCUACUAAGAGAGCAGGAUGUGAUUUCAAUUAUUACCCACCAGAAGCUGUGCUACAGAACGUACAUGCCAACUUUUCUCCAACACCCAUUGAAAUGAACACUACCAUGGUCAAAAAACUGUUGGAACAUCCUGGCCUGCACAAGCUGGUACAGCAGCAGAAGAAGAAAAGUCAGAAGACACUGAUCAGUGUCCAUCACAAUACAGAAAAAGCACAUCAUGUCCUAGAACAAAGUGAGAGGGAAUGAGAGAAUCACUGGUGAGAAAACUUGCUUGGAUGGUUUCCAACUGCCACAGGCUUUUCCAACCUAAGCUGCAUCCUGCAGCUGUGAUAGUGGCACUAACUGGGAUUGGGUUUGUGUUAAUAAUUGCAGGGUAUGUAAGAGUGGGGUACCUAAUCCAGCAAUCGAGACAACAAACUCCUCCAGAAAUACAGAGUUUGAAGGAAGGUAAAGCAAAAUAUUUGUUUUACCAGAACCAGAUGCUGUGUUUUAUUUCAUAGAUAUUGCUAAGUUUUAACAUUUUGAUAUGAGAACUAACACCUUUUAAGUCAUGUGAAUUAUGGUAAAUGACAAAACACAGGAGACCGAUGUUUCUGUUGUGUACGGUUUUGCGGAGGCGCAACAAUUCCCCCAGGGCCCAGGUGUCUCAGCCAGCCACCAGUGAUCAAAAUAGACAGAGAGGGGUUCUUAUUUGAAAACCCAGGUGUCCCUUAUUACAGCAUAACUUGAAUGGUGACCAGGGACAAGAACAAGAACAAAGGUAGGGUGGUAGGUUUUAUAGGGUAGAGCAAGGGCAAAGUUUAGGGUUGGGGUCUAAUAGCUAGAGGAGCAAGGACUGCAAAGGUGGGCUGAAGGAAGGUAACCAAUAGGAAUACCUGAGGCGGGGACAUUGCAGUAUAACUUUAACCAAUCAUAACAAAAGAAGGAGAGAAUAUUCUAGGUUGAUACCUCAUUUGUAACUUGGGGGUGGAGUGCUUUUUCUUGGGCUUGCAGGGGCACGCCCUACAUCUCCACCUCUUGGGGUGGAGGCACUCCACAUGUUUCUCAACCCGUUUGCCCAUACUCUUUACAUACACCGUGGACACUUCCAUAGCAGAGAGGCAAAAGGUACCUGCAUGACCGUUUCAUGAGGCAAAGAUUAUCUGCAUUCACAGGGUUGGGUGUAGCAGGAUGGUCUGCUUGAGCUGGGCUAGAGCAGGUUGAACUGUGUCUUAUUUACAAAUUAUCAGGGAUGGACUGAGCAAGGAGGCUCUGCUGAUUUUAGUGCUGAAGGGUGCUGAGGCCAAGUACCUGGAAUUCCUAAUUUGGAAUUAGACCCAAAGAAGCACAGAAUUAGACUGGUGCUUCCUGACAAAGGCUGGCAUCAGCAAGGGCCUGCAGGCCAAGACGGAAGGAAAAGCCACAAGUGUCAAGUAGAAGAAAUGAAAGAGCUGACAACUUCUGUUUCAGCAAUAUUUUGCUGAGCAGGCAUGACAACACCUGAACUAAAAUUGUGUCUGACUGACAGUCAAUCACUUUAUACUAUAACAGACCAAUCCCACAUUUUCACAGGAGAGAUUUCUUGCCUACCUCCCUAAGGUGUAGAGAGAGGUCAUCUCUCAAGGAUACCUCUCGAGACUGGGUGAAAGAGAUUGCCCGUGGUCGUUGGAAAGAGUGAGUAACAUUAUUAUCCAGUUGAAAAUACAACUCUGAUAUAAUUGAUUUAAUAAGAAGGGCACUAUAUGAGCAGUUCUAUUGGGUGGUAAAUAAUUCCAAUUAAAGCCUUUGAUCCUUUUGCCCUUUUCCCUGUAAAUGUGUUGAGCCUGUCAUUAGAGGGAGUCCCUGCACUUGCCAGAGGUGCCAACCUCAGCUGGCACAGGUUGCCUGUACACUCCAAAACCUCAGACUGCCACCCCCACUUGGAUUGCAUUACUCCAAGAGGGACAACAUCUGAAUAGGGAAGCAGUCUUGGAAAAUGGAACAGCUGGAGAUUGUUCCAGAUCAGCCACAGGGGGGAAGAUUUGGAUGAAAUUUUUUGUUUUAGUCUCACAGAGAACAAUAGAACAACAGAACAAUAGAAGCCAAAAUUUGAAACUUCAAAGCUUUAGUAAAAAUAUAAUAAAAAUAAGGGCCUGAAAGACAUAGACUGGUGGAACUG